rnacentral:rRNA from 1 species
ACAUCCAGAGAAUUUAGCAGAGAUGCUUUAGUGCCUUCGGGAACUCUGAGACAGGUGCUGCAUGGCUGUCGUCAGCUCGUGUUGUGAAAUUGUUGGGUUAAGUCCCGNAACGAGCGCAACCCUUAUCCUUUGUUGCCAGCACGUAAUGGUGGGAACUCAAAGGAGACUGCCGGUGAUAAACCGGAGGAAGGUGGGGAUGACGUCAAGUCAUCAUGGCCCUUACGAGUAGGGCUACACACGUGCUACAAUGGCGCAUACAAAGAGAAGCGACCUCGCGAGAGCAAGCGGACCUCAUAAAGUGCGUCGUAGUCCGGAUUGGAGUCUGCAACUCGACUCCAUGAAGUCGGAAUCGCUAGUAAUCGUAAAUCAGAAUGUUACGGUGAAUACGUUCCCGGGCCUUGUACACACCGCCCGUCACACCAUGGGAGUGGGUUGCAAAAGAAGUAGAUAGCUUAACCUUCGGGAGGGCGUUUACCACUUUGUGAUUCAUGACUGGGGUGAAGUCGUAACAAGGUAGGCGUAGUGCU